ensembl:lncRNA
AUACUCUUCUCUGUACCUGCAGUAAAUGGAUGUGGUUGAUAACACCUCAGAAGGCAGGAAUCUUUGCAGUUCACUCCUGAUGUCAUUGUCUCACCUGACUUCAAAUUCUGUCCGUCCCCAGCCUUCAGAAUUUGAGACGCAUUAUUCAAAGUGUUUUCCUUCCGCCCACCAUAUGACAUUGCUUCCUUCAUUUUCAAGUAUUACAAUGGUCAACGUCAUGAAGCCUGGAAACAAGACUGACCUCACAAGUGGCUGCCAAACAGGACACCUGAUAGAAUUUGGGAACACGUGAGUCUCUUUACUGGAGGGUACACAAGUUACAGCUGAUCAGGUGACCAGGAGAGAUUUUUUAGAGAGAGGACAGUGAAACCCACUUAGAUGGAUUGUCCUUGUAAUAUCUUAGGAAGAUUGACUUACGUCCCAAACCCCAAAAUCAAGUAUACAGAGAUCUUAGCCUUACUUCAGGAAAGACGAAGUAGGAGACUUGGGCUCCAGAGGAUUGGAGGUGAAGUAACAGAAACUCUAGUUUUACCCAUUUUAUCUUGCCCAUUAUCUUCUUUUUAUAGAGUUUAAUAGAAUGCUAUUUUCUGCAAAAUUUUACUAAAGUUUAUUAAGAGUACUGACAUCUAUAACUGCUAUUCACACCAGAGUUCUGUCCCAAAAGCAGAAAAGCUAAUGACAGUGCUCUCAAAGUCAUUUUUAAUUCAGUUAUUUGUCUUUAAGAAUGAUGUCUUCCUACAAGAUUCAUCACAGCUUCAUGUUACAUAAAAUGAAUGCUAAGUAAAAUAAUCUACCAGAAUAUAAGAAAAACAAGAACAACAUAAUCACUGCUUCUUUCUUAAAUUUCCUGUUACCCUAAUGUUAACAAAUUCUCCAUGACACUGACUGAUUCAUGGAACAAGUUUCUGUAUUUCUAAUUUUAACUUCUAUCACAAUUUUUCUGUUAUUACAUCAAGUUCAUUUUUCAGUAAAUACUGGAUGUUUUCUGCCCCACUACAGACCAUGUUUCCCAUGUUUCUACUUGUUUUACUAAAAUUUUUAUUUCUUUUGUAAACAUAUUCAUUACAGUUGGUUUUUAGUGAUGAAUUAUUAAAAAAAAAAAAGCAACAAAACAUUCAAAAGCAGUGUUAUAUUAAGAAUAUAGGACAAGGAAUUAUCUUGUGCUUUUUAUCCUUUGGUAGAAGGCACUGCUGAUACCUGAUAGACAUUCAGUGCCCUUGUCUGGCUUGGAUACAAGAAACUGUGUUUUGCCUCCAGAUUUUAUUUUCUCCAGUCUGUCAUUUUCUCCACUGUUACUAUAUGUGAUAUGACAUGCUGUGUACUGAUAGAUAUUGGCAGGUCCUGAUUAAAAUUCACUUUACAUCGCCUGCAUCCUUC